CACCAAGGUUGGAUUCGAACUCACGUCUGCCUCAAUCGCAAUGCAGCGCCUAUCCACUGCGCCACCUUCGU